ACCUCCUCCCAUGACUGUGGCCCGACUUCUCCUCCUCCUCCCUCACAAUCGAUGUCCCCGCCGCGCCGGCAUAGGCGCCGACGCCGGCGACUCCGGCGCCCACGCUCCUAGCACUCGAGCACCGCCCAUGCAUAGACGAUGCCGUCAGUCGCGUCACCGAGGUCGAGUCCAUCGAAUCAACCCUUGCCCUCGCCUGCGUCAGUGGCUCCGCCCAUCUCGAUGCGAUCUAUUACUCCAUCUCGAACAUCGGACUCAUCUCUAGCGAGUACGGCCUCGGUGCGGACGCUGCGGCGGACAACAAUAGUGUUGGCUAAUCGCUAGCUCGUUCGAGUUAUUGGUCGACGUCGUCCUGCCGCCUCUCUUUGUGCCGGCGCCCACGCGCACUCCGCACUCCGCAUGUUCUUCGAAAAAGGCAAGGAUAAACACUGAUUUUCACCCCCUCCAGCAGCAAGAUUCUUGUAUGGGCAGAAGAAAGAUAGGAUUAACCUUUUGCACUAACGGUUGUAUGGAUGUCGAUGGCCGUCACCGAUCAAAGGAGGGUGACGCCAUACAUUGUGGAGAUGCCGCACUCGACCGACAGCGAGCUCCAAGUCAAGACAGUGUGGCAACCGACGAGCAGAGUCUCCUUGUUGAGGAGGUCUUUACUCCAAUGGAGUCACUGAGAUAGAAGUAGGACAGGAAGAAAAAGAACGUCAUUAUAUUCAGGUCGAGUGGUAAAUGCUUACAUAUGUUCUUGAUCCCCAGAUAUAAAUUGCUUCUAUACGUACUUUUCUUGUUGGUGAACAUAACUAGAGAAAAUAUUUUGUGUGGUUUUAACAUGUUCUAAUUGUGAAAAUCCAUAAUUUGAUACCCAUCUUUUAUUUGUGUUUCGAUGCUCAUAUUGCAUGGUUCAGAGACUUCUUCAACAUUACAGAAAGGUGGAGCAAAUACUUUUGUUACAAAAUUAUAGGCAUUAGUUAAAACAGUAAUGAAGUCAAGAAGAACUGAGAGCAUCUUUUGAUGUUUGUUCGCUAUGGUCUUCUUCAAUUUUCGUAAGGGCAUUUGCUGCCAUCUAACACAGGAGCGGGAGUGGUAGGACCGCAUGAGGCGGGAAGUGCCCGGCCAUUGGGGAUCCGGACGAGGUCGCCAACAAGAUCACCUCGUCCUCGACUGUAGAUUAUCCACCUCUGAACCUCCCGCCGUUCCAGUUGCUUCAGUUCAGUCCCCAUCUUUCUUGUGGAUAUCUAUUACAUAAUUGACAAUGACAGCCAGAAGCUCACUCUUGGGCAUCAUCUCAGAUACCUGCGCCAUCCAUACCAACUACAUAGGAUCAGGGCUCCUCUGCUCGAACACUUCACCUCCCUUUCCUUCCCGUUCCUUCAACGAGGCAACUAUAAGUACUCUAUGAGUAUCAUUUCCAGUUUGCCGAUGAUUGUUGUCUUUCUUGAGAUUUAGCGGCUUGUUCCUUGUAGGAUAUCUUACUCUCAGAUGUCGCUAGCCAUUGCCUUGCUUCUGCAACACUUCAACCAAUUGUUGAUUAUUGUCAACAUUGGGAGGAUCACUUAGUUGUACAGUUUGUUGCACAAUUUUAUGGUAAAGAUGUAAAACAAUUCUAAUGUUACCAUCGAGUAAUCAGUUUUAUCUUGAUUGUGGAGGUCGCCCAUUUUGUAGAAGAUUCUCUAUUGUAUUCACCUUUUGCACAUAAAAAUAGAUUAUGGCUUUUAUGAUUGACAUUCCAGACUCUUAUCUUCAGUGCAUUUGGACUUUGGAGUCUUGUGGCAUAUCAGCAUUCAGUAGUGUUCAACUCACUUGUGUUCUUAAAACUCCUAUUAUCAACAGAUAUAUAUGAAGUUAUUGUCAUGUGUGCACAUACAUCCCUAACUGAAAUUAUCCUAAUACGGUAGUUAUCUUUCCUUCCAAGUUAGUUCUGGAGUUUUCUGUCUGCACUGAAAUAUCUUAGGUCUACAAUUGGUUUUUGUUUUGUUUUUCCGAGAAUGCCUACCAUUAUUUUAGUUAUUGCGUGCAUCAAUUCUAACUAAAUGUUGCAGGAAUCAAAACUAUCUUCGGUGGUCACAUCCUUGCUGGGACCUACGAUGAGAAACUAAUUGUUGGGGUCUAUGAUAGCACCAACAUGGUCGUGCAGGAGUUGCCUUCUAGGGCCUUGCUAAUAUACCAGAGCUCUGUUGUUAGCUUAGUCUUUUAUUAGGUCACCAAGAUCUAUCAUGAAUUUCUUCAUUGAUAAUAACUAGGCCCCAAUGGCACUUACAUGGAUGAUUCCUUUGUUGGCUGCACUGGAGAUGGAUGAGGUUGUAAAAUGAGGGGCUCCUGAUGAUGAUAUGCUUGCUGGCCGAAUGAUCGUGUACCAUGUCAGUUUGUUCCUACAGAUUUCAUGUGCCUUUUCUAAGCUUCUUUGUUUUGGUGUGCAAGUAUCUUGAAAUAUAAAGCAACUGGUUGGCCAG